GCGGGCGUAGCUCAACUGGAUAGAGCAUCAGUCUUCGGAACUGAGGGUCGGGGGUUCGAGUCCCUCCGCCCGCA
rnacentral:tRNA from 1 species